rnacentral:rRNA from 1 species
CCUACGGGUGGUAGCAGUGAGGAAUUUUGGUCAAUGGGCGUAAGCCUGAACCAGCCAAGUCGCGUGAGGGAUGAAGGUUCUAUGGAUCGUAAACCUCUUUUAUAAGGGAAUAAAGUGCGGGACGUGUCCCGUUUUGUAUGUACCUUAUGAGUAAGGAUCGGCUAACUCCGUGCCAGCAGCCGCGGUAAUACGGAGGGUCCGAGCGUUAUCCGGAUUUAUUGGGUUUAAAGGGUGCGUAGGCGGCCUUUUAAGUCAGCGGUUAAAGUCUGUGGCUCAACCUUAGUAUUGCCGGUGAAACUGGGAGGCUUGAGUAUGAGUGAGGAAGGCAGAAUGCGUGGUGUAGCGGUGAAAUGCUUAGAUAUCACGCAGAACCCCGUUAGCGAAGGCAGCCAGCUA